AAAAUAAUAUGUAGGAGGCAUAUUAUCUAGACAGAAUCAGCUGAUGUUUGCUAAAGAUGGAAUAAUAUAAAAUAUCAAUAUAUAAUAACCUAUAAUUUAAGUCAUUACAUGAUAUAAUAUUACAGAAUAUAACAAAUUAAAGAAGGACCAGAGAACCUAAAAAGAGUUCAAAUGUGCAAAAGAAGGAGAAAGUAAUGAAUAAUAUAUACAAAUAAUUAGUUGAUGGUGAUGAUGGCUGACAAUUAAAUUUCUAGUGGAAAUGAUUAAAAGAUGGGAAAAGGGAAAUGAAAAAGCAGGAAAG
rnacentral:lncRNA from 1 species